rnacentral:rRNA from 1 species
UACGAAGGGGGCUAGCGUUGCUCGGAAUGACUGGGCGUAAAGGGCGCGUAGGCGGUUUGUACAGUCAGGUGUGAAAUUCCCGGGCUCAACCUGGGGGCUGCACUUGAUACGUAUGGACUGGAGUGGGGAAGAGGGUCGUGGAAUUCCCAGUGUAGAGGUGAAAUUCGUAGAUAUUGGGAAGAACACCAGUGGCGAAGGCGGCUAACUGGUCCGGUACUGACGCUGAGGUGCGAAAGCGUGGGGAGCAAACAGG